ACAACAUUCGGACCGUCGGUCUACCGAGCAAUAUCACCCGCUAGGCUUAAAAUCUUUCCUCCGUCGU
rnacentral:pre_miRNA from 1 species